UAUCACGUAGUGUGAAACAGCUUAACGUUAAUGGUGACGCGUAUUUUGUUCCACAAUUUUAUUUGGUUACGAUCAUGUUAUCGUUUAAAUAAAAUUUAAUACUGUCAUUUAUACUAGAAGCUUCCCACUUUCCACCCUCUCUUUGGGCUGAGUGUUCUGUACAGGAUUUCUCGAAUAUAAAAUAACAGCGAAACUCACCAUAGUUAUAGAAACAAUAGUGUUCAUGCUAAUAGGAACGUGUCGAUCUCGACGUUACUCAACGUUUCGCUAGCGCCAUUCGUGAAUAUACUUAAUAGGACGAUUGCUACGACGUUGCAGAAAAUACUGUCGAUAUACAUAAAUACGUUCUGUAUAAAAAUGUCGAUGUUUGCACCCUGUCGCUUCAGCAAAUACUCAUUAUAUACACCAGCUAAGCAGGAGCAUGUUGUCUGUAAAGCAAGAUGUUUUUUAGAAAACAAUUGUGCCCCUUUAUUCAUACAGAUAUCAAUGAUAGGUGACUCACUUGUACAAGAAUUAGAAGUAGAAAAAUAUCUACAUGGAAUUCCGUGCCAAGGACGUGGGCGUCGAAGUGCUUUAUCAUGCAGCCAACUGUCAAGAUCACUAGAGAAAACCACUGUGUCAUGGAUAACUUUUUGUUAAAAAUGACCUAAAGGAAAUCAGAAUUCUUACAUCAUUUGUCACUCCUCUACAUAUGAAAACAGUAUUGUCAAUACCUGGAAAAUGAUUCCUGUAAGUACAACACGGAGUUGCAGUAGGACAUAAUAAGUUGUGGGGUCAAAUCUAGCCAAAUUGACAAAUGCUAGAUUGUUGUAGAGACAGUACAAAAGCGCGGGUAUCAUAUACAGCAAAAGCACUAAAAAUUUACAGAAACUUUUUUUAGUCUUUUUUGAUUCACAUUUUGAACAUUUAUAUAAGUUUUUAGAAAUCUCUAUCUCUAUUUUUAAUCUCACCCUUUUUAUUCUUUCUUGUCUCUUGGAGAAGUGUCAGGAUGCUAUUGCUAUAAGAUAAAUUAAUACCAAUUAAAAAAAUCUGGUCAGCUGUAUACAAAUUGUAAAUUUUUCAAUUGUUUUACUUACUCUUUCCAGUAGAGUGCCGUGGAUAUGACCAAUUUUAGAACCUCUGUCAUCAGCACAACUGCUACAAUAUUAUAUUCGUAGCGGCCACUUCUUUGAGACCAUGUUACAAGAAUACCUGUAGUAGAUUAUCACAAUUUGAUAUUGUAUUUUCAUAACAACUUACAUUUAAUUAAAAUCUAUUUUAUCUUGCCCAUUUGUUGUAACAAGGAAGAUGAGAACUGCUUAUAAAACAUGUGAUCAAAAUA